GUGCUUGGCUUUGGCAGUAUAUGUACUCAAAUUGGAAUGAUACAAAAGAAAAUUAGCAUGGCACCUGUGCAAAAAUUAUACGCAAAUUUGUGAAAUAUUUAAUAUUUAA
ensembl:snRNA U6 U6 spliceosomal RNA